UCCGACCCCCUCCCCGCCCCGCCCCGCCCCGCCCCUCUCCGCCGCUGCUGCGCAGGUGCGGCCGCUUCCAGUCGAGUCGCACGGCGACUCUCGCGUCAUUGGGGAACGUGUGUCGAGUCACAGGCGGUUUUUUGGGAGGCGCGGCCGGGAGUGGACGCUGAGGAAGUGGCCACGACUCUAGUAUUCCCACCUUCCGACCUCUGUGCUGAUUUUAUAGUGUCUCACCCCUUUACAGUGCCAGUUCAGUGACUUAUGCAAAAGAUGGGACCAUUCUUACAUUUCCACUUGAACCAUAUGGACUGAAGAUGGUGGACUUUGGCAUCCAAAGAAGAAUCAACAAGCUAUCAGAAUUGGAGGUCUUUCUCCUUGACUGUCCUCUUGUGCCUUAAAUUUGGAUCAGGAUGUUCAUG